rnacentral:rRNA from 1 species
AUUAAACGCUGGCGGCAUGCCUUACACAUGCAAGUCGAACGGUAGCGCGGGGCAACCUGGCGACGAGUGGCGAACGGGUGAGUAAAGCAUCGGAACGUGCCCUGGAAUGGGGGAUAACGUAGCGAAAGUUACGCUAAUACCGCAUAUUCUGUGAGCAGGAAAGCAGGGGAUCGCAAGACCUCGCGUUCUGGGAGCGGCCGAUGUCGGAUUAGCUAGUUGGUGGGGUAAAAGCCUGCCAAGGCGACGAUCCGUAGCGGGUCUGAGAGGAUGAUCCGCCACACUGGGACUGAGACACGGCCCAGACUCCUACGGGAGGCAGCAGUGGGGAAUUUUGGACAAUGGGCGGAAGCCUGAUCCAGCCAUGCCGCGUGAGUGAAGAAGGCCUCGGUUGUAAG